rnacentral:rRNA from 1 species
GACGUAGGGCGCGAGCGUUGUCCGGAUUUAUUGGGCGUAAAGAGCUCGUAGGCGGUCUGUCGCGUCUGCUGUGAAAACUCGGGGCUUAACCCCGGGCCUGCAGUGGGUACGGGCAGACUAGAGUGCGGUAGGGGAGACUGGAAUUCCUGGUGUAGCAGUGAAAUGCGUAGAUAUCAGGAGGAAUACCGAUGGCGAAGGCGGCAUCCUGGACCGGCAUUGACGGCUGAGGAGCGAAAGCCAGGGGAGCAAACGGG